rnacentral:rRNA from 1 species
GAGUUUGAUCAUGGCUCAGAUUGAACGCUGGCGGUAUGCUUAACACAUGCAAGUCGAACGGUAACAGGAGAGAGCUUGCUCUUUUGCUGACGAGUGGCGGACGGGUGAGUAAUGCGUAGGAAUCUGCCUAGUAGUGGGGGACAAUGUGUGGAAACGCACGCUAAUACCGCAUACGCCCUACGGGGAAAGCGGGGGAUCUUCGGACCUCGCGCUAUUAGAUGAGCCUACGUUAGAUUAGCUAGUUGUGGGGUAAAGGCCUACCAAGGCGACGAUCUAUAGCUGGUCUGAGAGGAUGAUCAGCCACACUGGGACUGAGACACGGCCCAGACUCCUACGGGAGGCAGCAGUGGGGAAUAUUGGACGAAUGGGCGAAAGGCCUGAUCCAGCAACUACCGCGUGUGUGAAGAAGGCCU